UUUCAGUAAAGAGCUCAAUUACAUGACCAACAACAAAUGGGUAAUCCUAUUCAUAUCAAGUGAACAAUAGAGUGCUUGUUAUUUAGAAGGUAUUGUGACCGAGCUCCAGGCUUUUGUAACCAGUGGUUUACUUAAGUCUCUCCUCUCUAUGUGUUAAUAUUAUACAUUAUAUAUACUAUGUAUACAUAUUAUGUAUUUAGUAUUCUACUCAGCUAUUCCAUUCAACCUCCAUUGAAGACUGUGUGACUUUAUUACAGAAAUAGAGUUCACAGUAAAGACGACUUGCAUACAAAAGUCCUAUAUUUUUAUUUUACAAUGCUAUUUUCUUUCAGCAAAAUUAAAAAGCUGGCGCUGCCAAGAUCGCCUGCGUUUUGGAACAGGAUGGAAACUAGCCUCCUUUUCAGAUCCCUGGCGUCCUGUUGAUUUGAUUAAGAACACAAGUACCCAGCAAGCAAGAAGCACCUUGAGAGCUGCCCGGGGGACAUUUCAGAGGAAAGCCCCAGGGAAAAGGAGAGGUCUGACAAGAGCAGCCCGCAGGCUACAUCGUGCUGAUGCCGCUCCCUUUUACAGGUGAACUUUCACAGAAAAGCAGUUUUAAGUUCACAGAAGGGGUUCGGAUGACCUUCAGAAGCUGGGCGUCCAGCGUUUCCACUUUGGCCUCGCGUUUUAACAUAGUGUGGCGAGAGCCGACCUCCCCCGACAGACCUGCACUCGGAGGCACAGCGGCUCGCUCCAGCCGCCGGGUCGCGUCCGGGUGCGGAGCUCAGAGCGCCCGGGUCGCGGGCAUCGGGGCGGGUGUGUUGCCGGAGUAGCCUCGGAUUGGCUGCCCUAGGGCCGCCCUACCCGGGCACCGGAUUGGGCGGAGCUGGGCCCUGCUGGCCGAGCUCAUUGGAGGGAGCGGCAGGGGCGGGGCGGGGCGGGGCGGGCUGGGUGCCGACCGGGCGCGCGGGCGGCGGAGCGGGCGCCGGGCCGACCCGGCCUGCGGGCGGCGCGAGGUCCUGAAGCCGAGGCGCGCCGGUUGGGGCUACCGUGUCCCGGGCAGUCUCUGCGUCCGCAGAACGGCCACUCCGAGACAGCUUCCGCCAGCGCCGUCCUCUGCAUCCUGCGCCGGCCGCUCCGCCGGCGGGGCCGCGCACGGGCGCCGCGGGCCGGCCAGCUGUCGGGGGCGGCGGGCGGCGCGGGACACAAAGAGCGCGCGAGGGCGGCAGACGCGGGACGGCGCCUUCGGCCGCGCCCGCCGGCCGCUCCAAGGCCGCGGAGACCAUACGGCCCCGGCCCGCUCGCGCACCUCCCGGCCGGAGGGCCGUCGGCCGCCGAGCGGGCACCGGGAGCCGGGAAAAGUUGGCGGCGCGUCCGCCGCGGGGAGGCCCGGGGCCGCGGGGGAGAAAAGACACUUUUUACAGAGCUGGGAGCUCAUAAACGUCUCAAAAGAAAGAUGCUGGAUAAUUGGAAAUAAGAAUUUGAGUUUCCUGGUUUUCUGUGUGUGUACAACCCAUAGGAAAUUCUUCCCAGUAAAUUCCUGUAGCCUUCAGACAUUUUCAAGAGGCAAAGGACCAGGUAGGUCUGUAUUUCUAUUAAUUACAAAAAGAAAACGUUUCAUUGUCUUUGUUCCUAGGAAGAAAUAUAAUGAGAAUUAGAAGCCUUUGAAUUAGGCUAGAAACACUGUGGACUACUAAGUGUAAAGUAGAAGAAGGUGAAGCUGAAUUUUAAAGGUCAGAAUUCUGUUUGUACCUUUAUUUUACUUCCAUUUCAGCUCUAUGUGGGCUUUCUACCAAAGGAAGCAGAGACCGCUUGUGUUCCUUGUCUUUAGAUGGAUUUUCUGAAGGAAGGGAUAGGGGCCAAUGCCAGUACUAUCAAGGCAAUUGUCUGGGACCUUGGUCCCCAGAGAGAUAGGAUAAAAGGAUGUAGAGCAGGGGCUAGACACCAAGCCCUGUGCUGACAUGGACUGCGAGUGCUAUAACAUACACCCAGAGGCAGAGUGGAGAGAGAGAAAGGUGGAGCCAGGGGGAGAAGCAUAUUCUCUCCUGGUGUCGGUGACCCACAAGAACCUUGGCCUUUCCAUGGCCAGAGGAGGGUCCUGGUAUGAAUAAAUAAAUCAACAAAUAAAGCUGUGGUAAUUUC
rnacentral:lncRNA from 1 species